UUGACGGGGCCCGCACAAGCGGAGGAACAUGUGGUUUAAUUCGAUGAUACGCGAGGAACCUUACCUGGGCUUAAAUGUAGAGUGCAUUUUCUAGAGAUAGGAAUUCCCUUCGGGGCUUUCUACAAGGUGCUGCAUGGUUGUCGUCAGCUCGUGUCGUGAGAUGUUGGGUUAAGUCCCGCAACGAGCGCAACCCUCGCCUUUAGUUGCCAGCAUUCAGUUGGGCACUCUAGAGGGACUGCCGGUGUCAAACCGGAGGAAGGUGGGGAUGACGUCAAGUCCUCAUGGCCUUUAUGUCUAGGGCUGCACACGUACUACAAUGGCCGGUACAAAGGGCAGCCACUCAGCGAUGAGGCGCUAAUCCCAUAAAGCCGGUCUCAGUCCGGAUCGCAGUCUGCAACUCGACUGCGUGAAGUUGGAAUCGCUAGUAAUCGUAGAUCAGCAUGCUACGGUGAAUACGUUCCCGGGCCUU
rnacentral:rRNA from 1 species